GCUUAUGUUCAACUCGGUUUAAUAUUUCUACAAAUCUAAAGAUCGUGAACCCUUAAAUUAGGGUUUUAGGGCACAUAUUAAAGAAACUACACAGACAAAAUGAGAAGAAUAAUCUUUGUAGCUCGUUAGAAAAUACCCAUCUCCUAAUUUCAAUCGGGACAGUCUCCUUCCAAUCCGAAUCAUUGUUUCUUCUCAUCAGGAACUGUAGACAAUGCAUCUGUUAUGGAACCCUAACUGGAAUUCAAAGAAGUUCAGAGGGCUCAUUCGGUUCGACGUCAAAAACCAGUCUUUCUUCCAAGACGGAUACGCGAUGGCCAGGGCUCAUUCGCCUUGACGACGUCUGGACGUGUGCCCCAUGAUCAACCCUACGAUGAAUUUUCGGGUGAUGUUGAGAAGGUUUAUAGGAUUUGAAGGAAGUUUCACACACGGGUUCCGAAAUUGGAACUUGCUUUGCAACAUUCCGGUGAUGUAGUCCGCUCAGGGUUGACAGAACGCGUGUUUAGGGUUGUUCAUUUUUAUCUAAAACCCGAAACCUGACCCGAAUUCAAAGCCACCCGAACCCGAAUUAGCGAAUACCCGAAAAAGUGAACCCAGUGAAAAAAUUCCUAGAUCCGCCACUGGUUGGGAGUUGUCCUAGUACCUUUUUUAUUAUUGAAUGCUUUUGUUCUGUUGAUAAGGAGCCUUGUCGUGUGCAUGAAUAUUAUGCAUGCAUCUUCUUGUAAAAUACCAUUUGACAAGGUUUGAAUUCAAGACCUCCCUUUCAAGAGGUUUGUGCCUUUAACAAGUGAGCUAGUCUCAUAUUAA